GACGAACGCUGGCGGCGGGCUUAACACAUGCAAGUCGAACGGAAAGGCCCUGCUUUUGUGGGGUGCUCGAGUGGCGAACGGGUGAGUAACACGUGAGUAACCUGCCCUUGAUGUUGUGAUAACUUCAGGAAACUGGUGCUAAUACCGGAGAGGAGCUCCUGCUGCAUGGUGGGGGUUGGAAAGUUUCGGCGGUGGGGGAUGGACUCGCGGCUUAUCAGCUUGUGGGUGGGGUAGUGGCUUACCAAGGCUUUGACGGGUAGCCGGCCUGAGAGGGUGACCGGCCACAUUGCGACUGAGAUACGGCCCAGUCUCCUACGGGGGGCAGCAGUGGGGAAUCUUGCACAGUGGGGGGAAGCGUGAGGCAGAAACGCUGCGUGCGGGAUGAAGGCCUUCGGGUUGUAAACCGCUUUCGCCUGUGACGAAGCGUGAGUGACGGUACUGGGUAAAGAAGCACCGGCUAACUACGUG
rnacentral:rRNA from 1 species